rnacentral:rRNA from 1 species
AGAGUUUGAUCCUGGCUCAGGACGAACGCUGGCGGCGUGCCUAACACAUGCAAGUCGAGCGAUGAAAUCCUUCGGGAUGGAUUAGCGGCGGACGGGUGAGUAACACGUGGGUAACCUGCCUCAAAGAGGGGAAUAGCCUUCCGAAAGGAAGAUUAAUACCGCAUAAUAUGUUUUGGUCGCAUGACUGAGACAUCAAAGGAGCAAUCCGCUUUGAGAUGGACCCGCGGCGCAUUAGCUAGUUGGUGAGGUAACGGCUCACCAAGGCGACGAUGCGCUCUCGGAGGUGAGAGGGUGAUCGGCCACAUUGGAACUGAGACACGGUCCAGACUCCUACGGGAGGCAGCAGUGGGGAAAAUAAAGCAAUGGGGGAAACCCUGACGCAGCAACGCCGCGUAGUGAAGAGGCCUUCGGGUUGUAAAGUUCUGUCUUCUGGGACGAUAAUGACGUACCAGAGAGAG